rnacentral:hammerhead_ribozyme from 1 species
AUGCAGCUGACGAGUACCAAAUAGGACGAAACGCGCGUCAAGCUGGAU